UACGGACUUUGAAAGUGCAAAAAUUGCACAGGAGGGCAGAUUCGACCAAGAGCAUUAUGAAGGUUUGAAAAGAGAUCAUGGAUCUGAAACACAUACUGGAAGUACCGAUGUUGAGAAUUACUUGCUGAAUCAAGAAGGAAUUAAUGCUGGAGAACUGAUUUUGCCGAUUGAAUCUCACUCUAGUGAUGAAGUUGGAAGCGAAUUGCUGCAGUUGAAGGAGUCAAACAAAGCAAUCGAGGAUGGGAUACAACUAACAGAUGCUGCUGGAAGUUCUGGAGAAUUGAAAGAAUUAGCCACUGUACCUGAGAUCGAAUCUGAAUUUGAUCAACUGGACCCACAACUGCAGAACAAGAUUCAGGCUUGCAUUUUGCGGACAAAAAAGAACUUUGAGCUUCCUUGAGCUUCAAAAAUUCAUUCCCCUCUUUAAAUUGCAAUCUUAUUUAAUUAAUUUUCUGGGUCUUGUUUGCUUUGCGUAUUAACUCCAUGCAAUUUGGAAAUGUUGAGGCCUAAAGUUUCUUGUACUCAUUUAUAUAUGAUAUUUUACAUUGCUGCA